UCCCUGGCGGCUCAGAGGUUAAAGCAUCUGCCUGCAAUGCAGGAAACCCAAGUUCAAUCCCUGGGUUGGGAA
rfam:TPA: Bos taurus chromosome 16, whole genome shotgun sequence.